GUUGUUCACGUUGUUCCGCUGCUGUGCCGGUCCACUAGGAUGGAGGAUGCUCGACUUCCUUGCUUGAAAGUAACGGGAUCCCACUACGAAGUUGGACGUCAAGUGGGCGAGGCGUUCAAAGAUCGAAUAGCCGAGGCCUACUACAAGUCAGAAUCAUUUAGUGAGCUGCAUGAGUUUGCCAAGUCCAGCACUGGCCAAGCACAUCUCAACCGAUGGAAGGAUGCCGUAGAACGCUAUCCCAAUGUUGUGGCCGAGAUGAAAGGCCUUGCCGAUGGCAGUGGCAUUGACUACGAGGAGGUAUUCCUGUACAAUUGUUCCGUUGAAAUCGGUAUUAUCCUGCUUGAACUGGACACCAUAACAUCUUGCAGUGAUUUGUUACUCCAGCAACCAAAUAUGGUUUUGAGUGCACACAACGAAGACGGGCCUGACAGCGCUGUGAACACGUCCUAUCUUAUUCACGCUGAAAUCACCGGCAAUGACGGUACUGUCGAAGAAGACUUUGUAGCAUUUGCGUAUGCGGGCAUACUGCCAGGAAAUGCAUUCGGCUUCAAUCGGCAUGGCCUGUCGUUUUCAACCAACGCUAUUUAUGGAAAAUACCUACGGGAAAAUGACGCAGCAUUGCCUCGUGUAGUCUUGGGCCGCAUGGUGCUCGGUGUAAAGACGGUUGAUGAACUGCUCAAUAAGCUGCAAGGUACUGGCGAGCAGUACAAGUCACCAAUUUGGCAGUCCGUGUCAUCGUUCAGCCUGAACAUUGGCGACCGUGUGAAUGCCAAGGUUAUGAACAUUGAACUGUCCACGCGUGGCAUUUCUAAAACGACAACAGAGAAUGGCUUCUUGCAUCAUUUCAACAUGUGUAUACAGGUUUGUGCAUACACCAGAACCCCAGUACGUACACAUGAGUUCAGUGCAUCGCACAAGAGCACUGGCUACUCUGGAAGGUCCCACCGAUAGCAGCUCUGCACUCAACAUACUUUCCGACACAUCCGACACGGAGUACCCGAUGUACCGAAAUGGCGCUUCACCCGAUGUACUGUCCACCAUAGCAACAGUGGUGUAUGACUUGCUACGAGGAGUUGCUGAAAUCUACACCACCCAGCCACUUCCCGGUGUCACUCCAACGUAUGAGUUCAACUUCUAGCCCGCCCGGCAACUUGCUCUGACAGCCAUCGGUAUCAUUGCGGUCAGACAAGUUGCAUUGAAUUUAGGGCAGUAUUUAUGUGUAAAGCUCCUAGCCGUUUGCCAGCCAUCUACCUCAUCAUUUCAAGUCCUAUUCCACCAUUCCAUCACUAAGUAAAAGUAUCUGGUUUUCACAUUAUUCAAUGAAUGCAUUAGGUUCCACUGCAGCCAAUUCUUUAGAAACCAUUCCAGUUUAAAAUGAAAUUUAAUAAUAUAUGAGAGGCUAUAUUCAGCACUACAUUGUAGUUCCAAAGCCUUAGUGACCAUAGGCUACAGUAGAAAUUAUUCUGAUCUAAAGUUUUGCCCCCUCACGGUGGCUUAGUUCAUUAGAAAGUAGAUUUAGAAGCUUCAUCACGGCCGGGCUUGGUCCUAGCUCUCACCAG